CGCAUCUGUGCAUGCAGCAUAUCAAUAAGCGGAGGAAAAGAAACUAACAAGGAUUCCCCUAGUAACGGCGAGUGAAGCGGGAAGAGCUCAAAUUUGAAAUCUUAAAGGGUUUCCCUUUACGAAUUGUAGUUUAAAGAAGUGUUUUCUGUUGAGGUUUUGGUAAAAGUUCUUUGGAAUAGGACAUCAUAGAGGGUGAGAAUCCCGUAUUUGACCUUUACUUUCAACUUUGUGAUACACUUUCAAAGAGUCGGAUUGUUUGGGAAUGCAGUCCAAAAUGGGUGGUAAAUUUCAUCUAAAGCUAAAUAUUGGCGAGAGGCCGAUAGCGAACAAGUACCGUGAGGGAAAGAUGAAAAGAACUUUGAAAAGAGAGUUAAACAGUACGUGAAAUUGUCAAAAGGGAAGCGUUUGACACCAGUGUUGUUUUUCUGAAAAUCAAUUAAAGAACUGUUUAUGCUAAGUUGUUUAGACUUUAUCAGCUAACUGUUUAGUUUUGAGCUUUUCUUUAAUGCACUUUUCAGUUAACAAGUCAACAUCAAUUUCUUUUGCUGUAAAAAAGCUUGAGGAAGGUGGCUUGAGAUUCGUCUUAAGUGUUUAUAGCCUCUUGCCUAUGCAGUCGGAGAGAUUGAGGUCUGCAGCGUAGAUCCUUCGGGGCUAAAUGCAUUUGUGCUAAGUUAUAGCAUUUUAUAGACAACUUGUUGACUAUGAUUUGUCUUGUAGCUUACUCGCUUAUGUUAUUUUACCUACGCUUAGGAUGUUGAACGCGCACAGAGUCUC
rnacentral:rRNA from 1 species